CAGCCGCGGUGAGACGUAGGUUGCAAACGUUAUCCGGAAUUAUUGGGCGUAAAGAGUUCGUAGGUGGCUUGUUAAGUAGAGUGUUAAAGACCGAAGCUCAACUUCGGGAAGGUACUCUAAACUGGCUCGCUAGAGGAAGGCAGAGGCAAGUGGAAUUCUGUGUGUAGGGGUAAUAUCCGUAGAUACACAGAGGAACGCCAAAAGUGAAGACAGCUUGCUGGGCCUUUCCUGACACUCAAGAACGAAAGCGUGGGGAGCAAACAGGAUUAGAUACCCUGGUAGUCCACGCCCUAAACUAUGAUCACUAGGUAUUGGGAGCUCGACCCUUUCAGUGCCGAAGUUAACACAUUAAGUGAUCCGCCUGGGUAGUACGAUCGCAAGAUUAAAACUCAAAGGAAUAGACGGGGACCCACACAAGCGGUGGAGCAUCGGGUUUAAUUCGACAGUAAGCGAUGAACCUCACCAAGACUUGACAUCCCGGGAAGUUUGCCGAAAGGUGAAUGUGCCGCAAGGAACCCGGAGACAGGUGCUGCAUGGUUGUCGUCAGCUCGUGCCUUGAGGUGUUCGGUUAAGUCCGUAAACGAGCGCAACCCUUGUCCUUAGUUGUAAUUUUCUAAGGAGACUGCCGGCUCCAAGUCGGAGGAAGGCAAGGAUGACGUCAAAUCAGCAUGGCCCUUAUGUCUUGGGCGACACCGGUGCUACAAUGGUCGGUACAAAAGGCAGCCAAGGGGUAACCCGGAGCCAAUCCUAAAAACCGAUCUUAGUUCGGAUUGGGGGCUGAAAUUCGCCCUCAUGAAGCUGGAAUCGCUAGUAACCGUAAAUCAGAACGUUACGGUGAAUAUGUUCCUGGGUCUUGC
rnacentral:rRNA from 1 species